UAAACUAAUUGUGGACAGUGGAAAAUAACCAGUCUCAUCAUUAGCGUUUGAAGUUUGAAAAUUUGGUUGUCGGUAAAUCAAAUUCUGACUAAAGAUGUUAAAGGAUGUUACAAGGUAUCUGCUAGUGGAAGAGGGAGGCAUUUUUCAUUAGAAAAAUACAUUACCAACCAGACAAAAUAAAAUUAUUAAUUGUUUCACAGACUGCUUAAAGACUGCAUUAAAUAAAAAUGAUCAGAACUUUAAAUGUUUUAUUUAUAGAAGACUAUUUAUUUAUUUUUUUACUAUCCUGCUUUUUUAGGUUUUACACACGCUGGAAAGAUUGGGAAUCAUGGUAUUCUCAGAGCUUUGGUUUACAUUUUUCCUUGAGAGAAGAACAGUGGCAAGAAGACUGGGCAUUUAUACUCUCUCUUGCUAGUCAGCCUGGAGCAAGCUUGGAGCAGACGCACAUUUUUGUACUGGCACAUAUUCUUAGACGACCAAUUAUAGUUUAUGGAGUAAAAUAUUACAAGAGUUUCCGGGGAGAAACUUUAGGAUAUACUCGGUUUCAAGGUGUUUAUCUGCCUUUGUUGUGGGAACAGAGUUUUUGU
rnacentral:lncRNA from 1 species